GGUCAGGCGGGACUACCCGCUGAGUUUAAGCAUAU
rnacentral:rRNA from 1 species